AACGAACGCUGGCGGCAUGCUUAACACAUGCAAGUCGAACGGGCCCUUCGGGGUUAGUGGCGGACGGGUGAGUAACGCGUGGGAACCUGCCCUGGGGUGGGGGAUAACCGCUGGAAACGGCGGCUAAUACCGCAUGUGCCUUGAGGGGCAAAGGUCUUUAUGGCCGCCUUGGGAGGGGCCCGCGUCUGAUUAGCUUGUUGGUGGGGUAAUGGCCUACCAAGGCUUCGAUCGGUAGCUGGUCUGAGAGGAUGAUCAGCCACACUGGGACUGAUACACGGCCCAGACUCCUACGGGAGGCAGCAGUGGGGAAUAUUGGACAAUGGGGGCAACCCUGAUCCAGCAAUGCCGCGUGAGUGAAGAAGGCCUUAGGGUUGUAAAGCUCUUUCGCCCGUGACGAUGAUGACGGUAACGGGAGAAGAAGCCCCGGCUAAUUCCGUGCCAGCCGCCGCCGUAAAAC
rnacentral:rRNA from 1 species